UUUUUUUUUAUGUAAAUCGAUUGCAAUUGAUGGAAUAUCUUUAAAAGACAGAAUUCACAAAAUAAUGCUGAGAGUAUUUUCGAAAAGUUAUAUGGCCUCCACGGAUAUGAAGGGAACAGCUUCUUCUAUUGUAUUCAAUGGACUAAAAGAAAUCUCGGUUAAUGGAACAUUGUUUGACUUUCUAAAUUACGCUCUUUUUCAAAAAGGUGGUGGAAAAGAAAAAAAAUUU